AUGAAGAUCUCUACUCCUUCUUUAUUCAUGGUCUUGUGGCUUCAUCUGAAUUGUGUGAGCCGAGGAGAGAAGGUGGAGCAACACCCUUCUACCCUGAGUGUCCUGGAGGGAGAUAGUGCUGUUAUCAACUAUACUUACUCAGACAGUCGUUCAUCUUACUUCCCUUGGUAUAAGCAAGAAACUGGAAAAGGUCUCAGUAUCGUUAUAGACAUUCGUUCAAAUAAGGAGAUAAAUCAAGUCCAAAGAUUCAUUGUUGUGUUGGAUAAGAAAGCCAAACACUUCUCCCUGAACAUCACAGCCACCCAGCCUGGAGACUCAGCUGUCUACUUCUGUGCAGCCAGUACACGAUGCUUCCCAGACACCUUCAGCCUGUACUCAAACCUGCCACUGGGCUAA